UAUAUUUUAGUAUAUUAUGUAUAAAAGUUUUUGAUACUUUAGGGAAUAAUUUAGAUUAUUAAAUAUAA
rnacentral:tRNA from 1 species